CAGCUAAGAGUGGGAGCCUGCAGAAAGAAACUCACUGUCCCAAGAUCUGCACCAAGAAGCUCCAAGCCUAAAUGGACACAAGCUGUAAAGUUUUUCUCCUUGCAGAUUCGUUGAAAUGCAUAAUCUGUCCGAGGACUCCAGUUGUGGUGGUGACGGUCACAGAAAAAAAGAUUGGAAGUACCUGAAAAUAUUGGAAGAUUUCUAAAAUAUACACAAAAGCAGAGCUGAGACCCACCGCUGAAGAGUUGCAUUCCUUUAUGGGACUGACUUUCAUCAGUCAUUUUAUUGAUCAGUGUAGAAAAAUGACCCCAAGAAGCCAGGGUGAAGAGGACCGGUGAGACUCUCUGGAUUCUUGUGGUGGUGACUCUUUUCCUACCUAAUCUGUCUCUCUCUCACUGUCUUUUUCCCCCUCUGUUCCCUCUUUUCUAUUUCUAUCUCU